AUUUGAUCGGAGGCAGGGGGUGGUCUCCAAUCAAACAGAGAAAAGGUCUUGGAGAAGUUCUCUUAUCUGGAGUCAAGGCUUCAUGACAAUUUCGAAGAAAGGAAAAUAAAGAAUGAUCUUCUGGCAGAUAGGUACCUUAUUUUUAAGAGAUCUCUUGCAGAUAUGUUGGUAAACACUCCAGCUGUGUUUCAUUU
rnacentral:lncRNA from 11 species